rnacentral:rRNA from 1 species
GCCUAUAGCCAUGCUACCCUGAACAAGUCCGAUUCUGUCUGAUCUCAGAAGCUAAGCAGGGUUGGGCCUGGUUAGUACUUGGAUGGGAGACCACCUAAAAAGACCAGGUUCUGUAGGUG